rnacentral:rRNA from 1 species
UAGGGAAUCUUCCACAAUGGGCGCAAGCCUGAUGGAGCAACACCGCGUGAGUGAAGAAGGGUUUCGGCUCGUAAAGCUCUGUUGUUAAAGAAGAACACGUAUGAGAUUAACUGUUCAUACGUUGACGGUAUUUAACCAGAAAGUCACGGCUAACUACGUGCCAGCAGCCGCGGUAAUACGUAGGUGGCAAGCGUUAUCCGGAUUUAUUGGGCGUAAAGAGAGUGCAGGCGGUUUUCUAAGUCUGAUGUGAAAGCCUUCGGCUUAACCGGAGAAGUGCAUCGGAAACUGGAUAACUUGAGUGCAGAAGAGGGUAGUGGAACUCCAUGUGUAGCGGUGGAAUGCGUAGAUAUAUGGAAGAACACCAGUGGCGAAGGCGGCUACCUGGUCUGCAACUGACGCUGAGACUCGAAAGCAUGGGUAGCGAACAGGAUUAGAUACCCUGGUAGUCCAUGCCGUAACGAUGAGUGCUAGGUGUUGGAGGGUUUCCGCCCUUCAGUGCCGGAGCUAACGCAUUAAGCACUCCGCCUGGGGAGUACGACCGCAAGGUU